rnacentral:lncRNA from 1 species
GUUUCCGGGGCGGAGCCAGGGAGGGCGGGGAGUUUAGGCUGUACCGACCCCUGAGCCCCCCUUCAGGAACCGUUCGGAGCUCGAGACAUGUCGCGAUUGAGGAGAUACGAGGUGGCGCUGGAAGCGGAGGAGGAGAUCUACUGGGGCUGCUUCUACUUUUUUCCUUGGCUGCGAAUGUGGCGCAGGGAGCGGAGUCCGAUGCCUCCAACAAGCCAGAGACUAAGUCUGGAACCCCCCAGGCUCCCGCUGACAGGCUGGCAUCCGUGGAACAAGACUAAGGAGAAGCAAGAAGCCUUGCCACUGCCCUCCAGCACUAGCUGCUGUACUCAGCUCUAUAGGCAACCACUCCCAACCAGACUACUGAGGAGGAUCGUCCGUGUGGAGCUGCAGGAGGCUGACGGGGACUGCCACCUCCAAGCUGUUGU